GGGCGGUUGGCGCAGUUGGUAGCGCGUCUCGUUUACACCGAGAAGGUCGCAGGUUCGAGCCCUGCACCGCCCA
rnacentral:tRNA from 1 species